rnacentral:lncRNA from 1 species
CAAAUUGAUUUGAGGUGUAUUUCACUCUGGAUUUCAAAUCUUUACCAUAAUAAAAGAAAAGAAAUGUAGAAAACUUUUAGAAGGGGCAAGACAGCAAUGGACUUCCUCCUCAAAUUCCAUUUUUUAUCCACUACUUUCUAUUCUAGAGCUAUCAGACAGCCUCAAUAAAUGCUUCUCUUAAGAAGAAUGUGUUUCUGCCAAUCAGAGGAGGUAGGGAGGUUAAGAAUAGGAGAUAGCCAAAUUGAGUAAUCAGCAAAAAUUGAGGAUAUUUAAUCCACAAAUCUACAGGGAUACCUGUAAAAUUAUUCCCAAUACUGAGCCCACUAAUAUCUUGCUUUCCAGUUUCUUUUCCUAUGGCAUAAAAAAGAAUUCAAACCCUAUUAUCCUAAGGGUAAGUCUGAAACACCUUACCUCAAGACAUAACCUUUUCUUAAAAAAAUAAUGACAUGUUUG